rnacentral:rRNA from 1 species
UACGUAGGGUGCAAGCGUUGUCCGGAAUUAUUGGGCGUAAAGAGCUUGUAGGCGGUUUGUCGCGUCUGCUGUGAAAUUUCGGGGCUCAACCCCGAACUUGCAGUGGGUACGGGCAGACUAGAGUGUGGUAGGGGAGACUGGAAUUCCUGGUGUAGCGGUGAAAUGCGCAGAUAUCGGAAGGAACACCGGUGGCGAAGGCGGCAUGCUGGACCUCAACUGACGCUGAGGCGCGAAAGCCAGGGGAGCAAACGGG